UACGUAGGGGGCAAGCGUUGUUCGGAAUUACUGGGCGUAAAGGGCGCGUAGGCGGCAUGGCAAGUCGGGAGUGAAAGGCCUGGGCUCAACCGAGGAACUGCUUUCGAGACUGCCAAGCUAGAGUGCGGAAGGGGCAUCUGGAAUUCCCAGUGUAGCGGUGAAAUGCGUAGAUAUUGGGAAGAACACCUGAGGCGAAGGCGGGAUGCUGGGCUGACACUGACGUUGAGGCGCGAAAGCCAGGGGAGCAAACGGG
rnacentral:rRNA from 1 species